AUGGACUCGAUAACCAUUCUCUUCCUCAUCGUCGCGUUCUUCCAACCAUUUCCCGUGGCCGUGUUUGCGAACUCCACUGACGCUCUGAAACGGCGUCCCGCUAUUGCGCUCGCGGACUCCUAUAAGCCAUCGCACUGUGUUCGCGUCAUUCUAAGUGUUCCAUCGAGUGUUGUUAGAGAUUGGACCGUACGAUUGACAAACGAGGAUAGAGACAAUGCGGAAUCGGUGCUCGAUUUAAUAGUCAAAAGCAUAACAGCAGAAAAUGUACCAUGAUCUAAACGCGGUGUUUCUUCAGAAUCGAUCUCACAUGUAACGUUUUUCACUCUUUCAAAAUCUUCUAGUUGCCUUUACCUCUUCUCGCUUCUGCCGCUUCUGCCGCUUCUGUGCUUCUUUUGGAUUUCGAUUUCUUCUUAUCCUGCGAUGUGAGUUGCGAAUCGAUGUGUAUUCGUUGCUCCUGCGUUUCUUUUGAUUCUUCUGUUCUUAUUCAAUCUUCUGUCAUGAUUGUGCGGGAACGAUUGGUGGUUUACGUUCCGAAAUGACAGAGAUUCUUGAUGGAGGCUGAAAGCUCCACUGUGCAGAGCUUCAAAUGUUGAAGCUCUCACAGUGAUGGACGGAGCGUAUGGUGGGGAUCAAGAGGGAUUCUCAUAGAGAAAUGGAAGAUGAAGGAGAAUUGAGUUGAACUGUGACUGCUAAACCAGAAAAAAUGGUCUGCAUGCUGAAUGGAGUGGAAAUUAGCCGAACCAGUUAGUUCAACCUUGGAUUUAUACUUCUAUUAAUAGGUUUAGUUAUGGAAGGGUCAUUGUUGCAGGGUGUUACACUGCGGAAUGUUGGAUUGUAGGUAUGCAGUUGGUGGUUUGCUAAGACAGUUUUCCGGUUAGACCGCUGCGGCGGUGGAGUCCCAGUAAUUUAUUAAUAAAUUCUGAAAUUCUUUUGUUAAAAGAAAGUAGGAUGAUUCUAUGUAUGCUAGGCUACAAAGGAGCUUGGGUUAUGUGAGCCAAAAUUCUGCAGCUUGUGAAUUUAUUUUCUACCGUGUGAAUUUACAAGAAGUUAACCUUGUAUGGAAGGAGAACGGAAUGCUUUCCUGAAAUUCAAAGCUAUGCUUGUAUUUGUGAAUAAAUAAUUGAUGAUUGAGUUGGUGUAAUUCCGUUAUUGAUUUCGGUUGGUGUUAAAUUCUGCAGGUGGAGUAUUGUUAAGAUGUAGUAGGGAUGCGUUGGACGUGAUGCAAAAUGAGUGACUUGCUGGUUAAUUAGUACUGAACUGUAUGGAAUUUGUGGGCGUCAUUAUCUCCCUGCUAAGCUUCUACCAUGGAUUCGUGCGUAGGAAAUUGGAUUCUGAAUGUAAAAUUGAGCCCUUUGGCAUGCAUUUAUGAGGAGUGAGGAGUAAGAAUGGCACAUGUUCAUGAAUGAAUAUUGGGUGAAUUUUAUAAAGUGAGAAACUUCUAUGAAAAGUAUAUGAUGGCAGAUUUCCAUGUAUUGAAUGAAUAUUGCAACGCAUGCUUGAAAAUUUCAUUUGAAUGCAAUGUACCAAAGGAUAGAAAAAAAUGGUGAUUCUUGAA